UCUUUAUAGUUUAAGAAGCUCGAGUUUGUGGGUGGGUUGAAGAACUGUGAAUUUUUGGAGAAAGUCAAGUCCAGCUUGGUUCUCAGUUUACACUCAAUUUAUACAUUCUUUUCCAUGAGUUGGUGGGUCGACCGGCUUCCUUGUUGUACAGAGAGGAAAAAGUAAGGGUAUUUUAUGCUGUUAGGAUCUUUCUUGGUCUCAUCUCUAUUAUUACUGAAACCAUUCUGGUUUAUGCUUUGUCAAGAAAGUAUGGAAAAUGUCUUGCCUCAUAUACUUGCCAUGCUAUGCUUAACCAGCGGUUGUUUCUUUGCUAGUACAAGUUUCUUGCCAAGUUCGUUCUCUAUGUAUGCUGUGACUGUAGCCUGAAAAGUCCCACUGUUUCAUUUGUCAAACUUCUGAGAAUCUCUUGAUGUGUAUUCUCUGUGUGGCUUUGUUGGUUGUGGGAGGUAAGAAAUUUUUUCUUGAAAAAUUUGUGUUCUCAUUAUCAUCAUGCUAAAACUGAUCUCUCUCUCUCUCUCUCUCUCUCUCUCUCUCUCUCUCUCUCUCUCCCCUCGUGUAUCUACCUUUAUUAUGCUUUUCCAUACUCCUAACAAUUUUGGUGUAGGUAUAAAGAAGGCCAUGCCGCACAAUAUAUAUAUAUAUAUAUAUAUAUAUAUAUAUAUAUAUGACAGUGGAAAGAAACACAAGAUAUUCCCUUGAAGUGGAAAUGCAGUGUGUGGGGAAUUAUGCAGAAGGCAAUUAUGUGAUGUCCUGAACCUCAACACAUGUACAAUGAUGUAUAAACACCAAGAAAAUACAUGAUCAAGUUCUUGCAGGUAAGAAUAGAUAUGACCUUAUGCAUGGAGUGACUUAUAGUUGAACCAGUUGAACAAACUUAUAGAUCGAUCAGAUUAGAUGCUGUUAUGGUUAUCAUGAACUUCAAUAUACUAUUGGUUACAUAAACUUAUGGUCUUCAUGAUUGCUUUAUGGUCAUCAUAAGAUAACUCUUCAUAACACACAGGAAAACUGAAAUGGAAAACAAGAGCUCAAUUUCAUUUAAAUUCUUUUCAAAUUUGUUAUUGAUCAGCAAGAAAUGCAUGCAUAACUGAACAAUAAGUUUUUC
rnacentral:lncRNA from 1 species